rnacentral:rRNA from 1 species
GUUUGAAUCCUGGCUCAGGACGAACGCUGGCGGCGUGCUUAACACAUGCAAGUCGAGCGGAAAGGCCCUUCGGGGUACUCGAGCGGCGAACGGGUGAGUAACACGUGAGUAAUCUGCCCUCCACUUUGGGAUAGCCACCGGAAACGGUGAUUAAUACCGGAUAUGACCUGUGCCCGCAUGGGUGUUGGUGGAAAGUUUUUCGGUGGGGGAUGUGCUCGCGGCCUAUCAGCUUGAUGGUGGGGUAAUGGCCUACCAUGGCUUCGACGGGUAGCCGGCCUGAGAGGGUGACCGGCCACACUGGGACUGAGACACGGCCCAGACUCCUACGGGAGGCAGCAGUGGGGAAUAUUGGACAAUGGGCGGAAGCCUGAUCCAGCAACGCCGCGUGAGGGAUGACGGCCUUCGGGUUGUAAACCUCUUUCGGUGGGGACGAAGCGAAAGUGA